UUGAACGCUGGCGGCCUGCUUUACCCAUGCACGUCGAACGGCAGCGCGGGCUUCGGCCUGGCGGCGAGUGGCGAACGGGUGAGUAAUGCAUCGGAACGUGCCCAGUAGUGGGGGAUAGCCCGGCGAAAGCCGGAUUAAUACCGCAUACGACCUGAGGGGGAAAGCGGGGGACCGAAAGGCCUCGCGCUAUUGGAGCGGCCGAUGUCGGAUUAGCUAGUUGGUGGGGUAAAGGCUUACCAAGGCGACGAUCCGUAGCUGGUCUGAGAGGACGACCAGCCACACUGGGACUGAGACACGGCCCAGACUCCUACGGGAGGCAGCAGUGGGGAAUUUUGGACAAUGGGGGCAACCCUGAUCCAGCCAUGCCGCGUGCGGGAAGAAGGCCUUCGGGUUGUAAACCGCUUUUGUUCGGGAAGAAAUCCUCUGGGCUAAUACCCCGGGGGGAUGACGGUACCGGAAGAAUAAGCACCGGCUAACUACGUG
rnacentral:rRNA from 1 species